AGAGGCUGGGAGGAUCUGAAAGGGAGCCAACGCCUGCAGACAGGUCAUGUGCACAAUACAACGUAACAUAUUGGUUGUUAUAGAGCAGGGGUCUCCAAAAGGAUACCUGAAUUUGAAAAGCUCACCAAAGGGUUAAAUAAUCUGCUUCAACUUUUAGUAUUUUUUUGUAACUGUUCAAUUCAGAUUUCAUGCUUCUAUUUAAUGACAAAAGAUGUGGAGCUCUGCUUUGUAUAUACAUAAAUAAAACACAAAUAUCCCAUUAGAAAUAAAGUCGGAGGCCCUUGAGAUUGAUAAACAGGAUAAAUUGGGCCCAAAGUAUAAUUUUAUUUUGAGCUCCCGCCAUUACCAAACAUGUUGUAUUUAUGUGAACAUUUUCGUACUUUUUUAAAUCAAACUUGAAUUUAAUUUGAUCCAUGUUUUGUACUAACACGAAUUGGUGUGUGUUCUUGUAUUUCUACCCUUCUUGAGACAUCAACAAGGAAAAGUACCUUCCAUAUGAGGACCGGUGAACAACUUAGGACAUAAAUGGGGCGGCAUGGCGUAGUGGGUAGAGCAACCGUGCCACAAACCUGAGGGUUGCAGGUUCGCUCCCCGCCUCUUACCAUCCAAAAAUCGCUGCCGUUGUGUCCUUGGGCGGGACACUUCACCCUUUGCCCCCGGUGCCACUCACACCGGUGAAUUGAAUGAUAGGUGGUGGUCGGAGGGGCCGUUGGCGCAAAUUGCAGCCACGCUUCCGUCAGUCUUCCCCAGGGCAGCUGUGGCUAUGAAAGUAGCUUACCACCACCAGGUGUGAAUGAUUGAUGGGUUCUACAUGUAAAGCGACUUUGGGUACUUAGAAAAGCGCUAUAUAAAUCCCAGUUAUUAUUAUUAUUAUUAUUAUAAAUCAUGGUCCCAAUAAGGAAAACCAUUGCAUCUAAUAGAGAAUGUCUCAUUUGCACCCCUGGUGGUGAGAUCGUAUCAAAAUGAGGGUGGUCCCAAAAAGGAAAUAUUUUUCAAAUGGACUGACUGUGUGUCGGGUUUAAAAGUGCUCCCCCUCUGGUCGACAUAUGAAAUAACAAGUGUGUGUAAAAAAUUUGAAGUGCUCCCCCUUGGCCAACAAAUGUAAUAACAAGUGUGUGUAAGGAAUUGAAAUGCGCCCCCUUUAGCCAAAAUUAAUUACAAAAAAUAAAUAUAUAUGUACAUAGACACAUACUGUAAUAACUUGAAAUAAAUAAUGAAGAUUAAAAACCAAUUACAAACAAAAAAAUUCAAAACAUUUUUUUUUACAAAAAGCUUCCUUUUUUUAUAUUUGCAUAGUUUGUAUAUAUUAUUAAUGUUGUAAAUACACUUUAUAUAUCUAGAAAGGGUGGUCCUCAAGAGGUAUGCAUUUUUCAGAGGUCUCAAGAAGGUAACAAAUACAAGAAUGUGUGUGCGUGCCAGAUAACAAAUUUAAGAUAUUUAAAACAUCUUCCUAAAACAGAAUUGGCCGGGAUUCGAACGGAGUGCAGUUAGUUAAUCACCAGCCAAGCUCCAACACUGUGCACCCCCAGGGAGAGUGUAAAUAUUUGGGUAAACUUGCCACAAUAUUUCUAUCAGUGACGGAGCAGGAAGGGGCUAGGAAUAUGUUUGUGGUAAUAUUUCAUAUAUUCAUUUAUUAAUAUUUUAUAUUCACGCACUAUGAUUGAUCGUGGUGCCCUAAAAAUAAAUAUUACAAGUACAUGUUUGCUUCAGUGGCUUAUACUGUGGCUUACCCUGUCCAGUGUGUGCAAUAUUGUUUAGUCCAUCUUUAGUACAGCUUUGUUUUGUAUGUCUCUGUCCCGGUAUGCUGACGGACACCAGGAUCUCACUUUGGCCUCCAUUGUACUCCUGUGUUGAUGGCAUCGCUUCAAUGGCCUCCUCUGUGCUUCUUCAUGGACGGAGCUGCCAUAUCUGCUGAGCUGGACCCUCAGAGGACGGAUCAACCUUUCUUGUGUUUAACUGAAAUGUGGAUUUGAGAGACCUGGUGUCACACGACCGUAUUAUAUCCUGUCUUUCAAGCAUACACUGUAUGUUUACACAGUCUUACUUACACUGGUUUGAUCAGUGCACCACUUUUUGCCUUAUGAAACAGGCACUUUCCUGCUAUGUGCACUGACCUCCCCUUUGUUGCCAUGGUUACUUGCUCUCUUUCACCCGGGGACUUCUAAAUUCACCCGUCGUCAUUAGUACUUAGUUAUGUCAUCAGAAGCAGACAUCUCGCACUUUUAAAAGAUGUCAUUCAUUUAGACUCAUCUAUCUUGAUCAUACUGUACUAGUGUGUUGUGCGCUUGCUCGUGGUGUAGUCGCUGUGUGAGGGGCAUGGAGUGUAUGCAUGUAUUCGGCGUGUUUAUGUGCAUGUGUAUUCUGAUACAACGUACGAGCUCCUUCAGUUGCCGAAAGCGCCAGACUCUGGAAAAAAAAUAUUGACAAAUUAUUAUUUGACAUUUGUUUUGGCCCAGCAACUAUGAACGACUAUUACUAUUAACACUAAAGCAGGGCUAUUCAACUGGUAGCCCGGGGGCCAAAUCUGGACACUAUACCUGCCCCCGAGUUCAGUUCAAAUCUUGUUGCACAAACCCUUUUGGUAGUCAAUUCCUAAAAAGUGCCCAUGUUGUAUAGAGGAACUUGGACCACUGUAAACACAUUGGCAGAUCCCUGCAUUGACACUUUAAGAACUUGCGAUUUACAUAACUGAGGUGUUCCUCAAGGCAUGACUUUAGGUCCUCUCCUUUUUGGCAGUUACAUUUUUUCCCGGAACAUAAUUUAUGUAAAUAAGAGUCGCUGUAGCCUGUUCAUUUCAGAUGUAGUCAGUAGUCAUUUGUUCAACUUCUUUAGUUACACUAGUGGUGUUCCUCAAGGUUCCAUUUUAGGUCCUCUCUUUUUCAUAAUUUGCACUAUUUGAGUUCAGUUCAAAAAACUUGUGAGAGAUUCUUAAAAAGUGCUGUCAUAGAGAUGAUCUUUGACUAGUUUUUUUUUUGCCAAAGUGCCUUAAAAACUCUGACAAAAUAAAUAGACCAAAAUAAAAUGUCUACUAUAGUGGAUGCUGGUUCUAAGGAACACACACAAGUGAAGGAAACAGUCCGACACCCAAGUCCUUAGCUUUCUGGAAAUGCGGUCACCAAAACAAAUUAAGUCGAAUAUCCCUGCCCUAAAUAUAAUUAAGGAUCAUCGUGAAAGAUGACACGCAUGGCACACAUAUUUUCUGGUCAUGCUUUACCAGCAUCAACUGAUUCAUUAACAAAAUCCAGCAAAUGCUGAUAAUUGUACAAAUAGAUUUGUACACAGGUCUGGAUUAUACUAACAUUAAUUUCUGCUAACAUUCUGAUAAUUACUAACCUCUCUGAUCGCUUAUGGCUGACUAACUCACUCACUGACUAACCCUCUGCUUUAUGGCCGCAGUUGCACAAAACUGUACACUCUUCUCUGGUGGUCUUGCAACCCCUCUUCUAGAAAGCAACUAUUCUUAAAGGGGAACAUUAUCACCAGACCUAUGUAAGCGUCAAUAUAAACCUUGAUGUUGCAGAAAAAAGACCAUAUAUUUUUUUAACCGAUUUCCGAACUCUAAAUGGGUGAAUUUUGGCGAAUUAAACGCCUUUCUAUUAUUCGCUCUCGGAGCGAUGACGUCACAAUGUGACGUCACAUCGGGAAGCAAUCCGCCAUUUUCUCACUUUCGUCGGUGUGUUGUCGGAGGGUGUAACAACACGAACAGGGACGGAUUCAAGUUGCACCAGUGGCCCAAAGAUGCGAAAGUGGCAAAAAAUUGGACGAAAUUUGUUCAAAAUAUGAGGCUGUGGGGAAAGCCGACGAAAUGGUCAGUCGUUUGUUCCGCACACUUUACCGACGAAAGCUAAGCUACGACAGAGAUGGCAAGAAUGUGUGGAUAUCCUGCGACACUCAAAGCAGAUGCAUUUCCAACGAUAAAGUCAAAGAAAUCUGCCGCCAGACCCCCAUUAUAUCUUCCGGAGUGUGUGAGCAAUUCAGGGACAAAGGACCUCGGUAGCACGGCAAGAAAUGGCGGCAGUUUGUUCCCGCAGACGAGCGAGCUAAACCCUCUGCAUGUCUUGGCUCACACCGUCCCUUAUGCCACCAAAGAUGAUCAAGAGAAGAAUAUCGACACUAGCUUCCCUGGCCUGCUGACAUCAACUCCAAAACUGGACAGAUCAGCUUUCAGGAAAAGAGAGCGGAUGAGGGUAUGUCUACAGAAUAUAUUAAUUGAUGAAAACUUUAUUCAUUACUCGCGGUUUUACGUAAAUUAUUAUACAUAAACUGUGUUUACCAAUAAUUUAGCUUAAAAACAUUUAUUUUUUUCAAUUAUUCGAGUACAUUCGGGUAGUCUUGUGUAAUGCAGUAUUUUGUGUCUAUUUAGGUAUGAUUAACCUGAGUGCUGAAAUCGUGGAAAAAUAUAUGUUCUUAGCGCGCCUGAAAUGGGCUGUCUGCACUCUCAAAGUGCAUGUUGUUGCCAAAUGUAUUUCAUAUGCUGUAAACCUAGUUCAUAGUUGUUAGUAAUUAUCUUAUCAGACAGUGUUAAGCCGCUGAAAUCCGAGUCUGAAUCCGAGCUAAUGUCGCUAUACCUUGCUGUUUGUUUGUAUUGGCAUCACUGUGUGACGUCACAGCAAAAUGGACGGGUGUAUAUAACGAUGGUUAAAAUCAGGCACUUUGAAGCUUUUUUUUAGGGAUAUUGCGUGAUGGGUAAAAUUUUGAAAAAAACUUCGAAAAAUAAAAUAAGCCACUGGGAACUGAUUUUUAAUGGUUUUAACCCUUCUAAAAUUGUGAUAAUGUUCCCCUUUAAACACUAACAUGAGUUAUCAAGUAGGGUUUCAAGAUCUGGGGAGGACAAUCGAACGAGCCGGAAGUCGAAAAGUGACGUAUCAAGCUGGCUUGACCACAUAAAUCCACACUGAUCUUGGAAAAAAAAAGUUCUCAUGCACUAGAGGCUAAAUUUAGAGGAACAGAUUUGUGUUGCUUUGUGUGCACAAUGUGGUCAAGCUUUGCAGGUACUGAAUAGUUGCCAAGGGCAACAUUACUAACUAUGGCUUUGAUACUAACAGUCAAAUACUAACAUCUCUGCUAUGCAAAACUCUUCAUAUAUUGCAACCAAAGUGUUGAUCAUCUGACUCAAGCAUGGCCUGUGUUAACUUUUCCAAAAUCAUACAGAGGACUAAUCAUUGGUGCAAUGAACAAGCCACUAACAUUCUUGGAAAUAUUCCAAAUACUAACCAAAAAGUCUUCAAUAACUAACACACUAAUGAACUAACAAAUAAACUAACAUGACUAACUGGAAUCCGUAGCAUCCAGAUUUAGACGGGUUGCAUCACGUAUUGAGUGUGCUAACAAGUUUGAAUGAAUGUGUGUGGGUGUGCACAUAUGGAGGACACUUCCAUGCUGUGUGUCGCCCGGAAGGAUAUUUUGAGUGUUCUAUUUAAGUGUUCUAUGAUGCACAAUGUUGUCACGUGCAAUAACACAAUUAUUUGUUCCAGCCCAGAAUCAUAAACGGCUGAAAAUGUCAGACUAAAAGAGUCGUGGUCUUAAAACAACAAAAGAAGCAAUUAUAUUCUGAAAUAAAAACAUCCGCAGACGUGUGUUCUUGGAGAUCUGCAUCACUUUAGCAAUGGGUCAUCAAAGAAUAAAAAUGCAUUUUUGUCGAUAGGCAUCAUAACAAAAACAAUAGCACUGAAAUAAAUGCAUAUAUGUUGAUAGUCCAACUCUAAUGACUAUUAUACAGUCAUUGUGAGUCAUUAUUUAUCAGUAGAAAAAACUACAUUUAGAUUAGAUAAUAAGGAGUCAUAUCUUGGAAUAUGGAAUCCGUUAUAUGAAUUUGUUUUAACUAUUAAAAUUCUUGAAUAAUGGCUACAGUGUGCUUGUCGAGUUUAUAAGAUGCAAUGCAAGUGUAAGUCACUGUAACUGUUAUUGUUUUUAUCAAUAAUGGCUGUGAUGGUGAUAGAAAUCAUAAGCAAUGAUGAUAUUAAUCAUACAUAUUGUUUCCGUUAUUGUAAUUUUUUGUUUUUGUUUUUCAAUCACAAUUGUUGAUGUUAUUAUUGUAACAUUGUAAUUGUUAAAUCGUUUUUAAUCAUAUUUAUUUUUAUAUUGUUUUUAUAUUGUUUUUAUAUUUAUUCAUUUUUUGUUUUUAUUCAGUCAUUGGUGGAGCUAAGGAUAAUAUUUGAAUAUUGUUUUUAAUACUGUUGUGCAGCACUUUGGAAACACUUUUGUUGUUUAAAUGUGCUAUAUAAAUAAAGUGGAUUGGAUUGGA